UACAGAGGUCCCGAGCGUUGUUCGGAUUCACUGGGCGUAAAGGGUGCGUAGGUGGCGUGGUAAGUUUGAGGUGAAAGCUCCGGGCUCAACCCGGAAAAUGCCUUGAAGACUAUCCCGCUAGAGGGUUGGAGGGGAGACUGGAAUUCUCGGUGUAGCAGUGAAAUGCGUAGAUCUCGAGAGGAACACCAGUGGCGAAGGCGGGUCUCUGGACAACACCUGACGCUGAGGCACGAAAGCCAGGGGAGCAAACGGG
rnacentral:rRNA from 1 species